UCUCUGAUAGCUCAAUUGGUUAGAGCGAUUGACUGUUAAUUAAUAGGUUGUUGGUUCAAAUCCAGCUCAGAGAG
rnacentral:tRNA from 1 species